rnacentral:rRNA from 1 species
UUCCAGACUCCUACGGGAGGCAGCAGUGGGGAAUAUUGCACAAUGGGGGAAACCCUGAUGCAGCAACGCCGCGUGAGUGAAGAAGUAUCUCGGUAUGUAAAGCUCUAUCAGCAGGGAAGAAAGAAAUGACGGUACCUGAGUAAGAAGCCCCGGCUAACUACGUGCCAGCAGCCGCGGUAAUACGUAGGGGGCGAGCGUUAUCCGGAUUUACUGGGUGUAAAGGGAGCGUAGACGGUUAAUCAAGUCUGAAGUGAAAGCCCGCGGCUCAACUGCGGAACGGCUUUGGAAACUGAGUAACUAGAGUGCUGGAGGGGCAGGCGGAAUUCCUGGUGUAGCGGUGAAAUGCGUAGAUAUCAGGAGGAACACCGGUGGCGAAGGCGGCCUGCUGGACAGUAACUGACGUUGAGGCUCGAAAGCGUGGGGAGCAAACAGGAUUAGAUACCCGCGUAGA